rnacentral:rRNA from 1 species
GACGAACGCUGGCGGCGUGCCUAAUACAUGCAAGUAGAACGCUGAAGAGAGGAGCUUGCUCUUCUUGGAUGAGUUGCGAACGGGUGAGUAACGCGUAGGUAACCUGCCUGGUAGCGGGGGAUAACUAUUGGAAACGAUAGCUAAUACCGCAUAAUAGUAGAUGUUGCAUGACAUUUACUUAAAAGGUGCAAUUGCAUCACUACCAGAUGGACCUGCGUUGUAUUAGCUAGUUGGUGAGGUAACGGCUCACCAAGGCGACGAUACAUAGCCGACCUGAGAGGGUGAUCGGCCACACUGGGACUGAGACACGGCCCAGACUCCUACGGGAGGCAGCAGUAGGGAAUCUUCGGCAAUGGACGGAAGUCUGACCGAGCAACGCCGCGUGAGUGAAGAAGGUUUUCGGAUCGUAAAGCUCUGUUGUAAGAGAAGAACGAGUGUGAGAGUGGAAAG